rnacentral:rRNA from 1 species
UACGAAGGGGGCGAGCGUUGUUCGGAAUUACUGGGCGUAAAGGGCGCGCAGGCGGUCCUUCAAGUCAGAUGUGAAAGCCCCGGGCUCAACCUGGGAACAGCAUUUGAGACUGGAGGACUUGAGGACGGGAGAGGAGAGUGGAAUUCCCAGUGUAGAGGUGAAAUUCGUAGAUAUUCGGAGGAACACCAGUGGCGAAGGCGGCUCACUGGUCCAUUACUGACGCUGAGGUGCGAAAGCGUGGGGAGCAACAGG